rnacentral:rRNA from 1 species
GACAGAGGGUGCAAAACGUUUGUUCGGAAUUACUGGGCGUAAAGCGUGCGUAGGCGGUUUCUUAAGUCUGCUGUGAAAGCCCCGGGCUCAACCUGGGAAUGGCGGUGGAUACUGAGGAGCUGGAGUACGGUAGAGGAAGGUGGAAUUCCCGGUGUAGCGGUGAAAUGCGUAGAGAUCGGGAGGAACAUCAGUGGCGAAGGCGGCCUUCUGGACCAGUACUGACGCUGAGGCACGAAAGCGUGGGGGAGCAAACAGG